AUCACACGGUAAUCUUGCAUGGCGACUACUACGGAGUAUGGGGACAAGGGAGUGACUUUUGGAAAAUGUGGAUUUAAACGUUUAUUUUUACCAUAGUUCACACAUUUUAUAGCCCGUACCGAUCGGUAAGGCAUUCCGUAUUAUAGAUUUGCCUUGUGACGGGAAAAGUUUCACGGAAAUAGGAAAUGAGAAUAAGAGUGUGGUUUUGGCCAGCACUGCCAUACAACUGCUGGAUGACAGGAAGUCGCCUAUUGUUGCUUCCGUUGGGAUUCAGAUGAAGCUGGAUUUCUUUCAGAGGAAGUUCUGGACCUCUAGUAGACAGG